rnacentral:lncRNA from 1 species
GUUUCCCUAUUCCACAUUCCAAAAUCAACAAUCAAACGCACACUCCAGCUCCUACAAUCGACUCCUUCUCCGCUUCCAUUUUUCUCCGAUCGGCCUCAACUACAACUCUACAAAUCGAACCUUCAAUCCGGUGUUGCCUCCACCUUAAUCUUCGUCCGGUUCUGUCGCAGCUGGAUCCGCUCUGCGUCCGCCUCCGAUGCUAAUCGCUACGCCAAUGGUUCACCUACGUUGCUGCUGUCUCGGUCCGUCGUCACUUCUUCCUCCGGCUUCUUCCUUGGUUAACUCUCACUCAACUUACACCAGGUGAUUCGAUUUUUUCAUCUCUUUCUUACUUUAUUGCUAAAUAACAUAGACCCAAUCUGAAACUAAGAUUUGGUUAAACCUUAAACAAAAAUAAGGAUUGAAGGUGUUUGGUGUUGGAACUUUAUUGUUGUUUCAGAUUUUUCAGAAUAUGCUUUGUUUUAGAUUUUAUUAUUAUUAUUAUUAUUAUUAUCAGAUUAUGCAUUUUUUCAGAUAUAUAUGGUGUUGGAAAAUACUGUUUUAGAUAUAAAUCAUCAUUGAAAGUAACCAUCGUGCCUUAUCAUUGCUCCCUUCCUUUUUGUACAUAUAUAGAAAUGAAUUUGGAAUAUUGAAUAUUUGUAAUAAAUGUAACUAUUUAAGCAACAUUAACAACAACUUACAGGUAAUUCAUAGACAACGACAAAUUUGUUCAAAUAAUUUACAGAAAGAUAUGCACAUGGUGGCCCAAAGUUGAAUUGAGAAUAAACCUGAGUCAAGAAAAUCCUAAAAAAAAUCAAGUAGUUACCUCAUAUGUCAUAUAGAAGUUUAUAAACCAUCCCGAAUGUUUGUUUAUCAUCAACUUUCUAAAUUAUGGAUGUUGUGGUGCCUAUAUUUAAGAAAAAUAUAUGCCAAAAUCAAGAAACAUUUGUGCUUAAAUAUAAAAAAACAGUACCAAAACAAAGUCUGGAAACCGGAAAAGCACCGCCACCAUCGCCCUGUUCGAUUUAGGGGCCAGGGAUCGAUUCCAAUGGUUAUUUUUUCUACCUAUGUGUGGACUGAAAGAAAACAAACAUUUAUUAAAUAACUAAAAAAGAAGAACACGAAGAUAGGAGAUAAAUUGCAACUAAUAAGUGCAUACCCACCAAUUAAUGUGUUCUUGAAUAAGAAACUUCUUUGAAGCAUUUCAACAAAUAGGUUAUGUAUAUAAAAAUUUCACCCCUUUGUCUCCCCCAAUGCAACAGCCUGAACCUCCAUUACCAGUUUCAAUUUCAGAUAGCCCUUAAUCAUUUUCCACACCACCAUGAUAAGAGUUGAAUAUAAAGAUUACACAAUAACAUAAAAAUUCUAUUGAAAAUAAGUUCAAAUAUUAACAUAAAUUACAUAACUUAAAGUUGAAUAUAUUAAAAGUAAUAAUACUUACACUAUAGAACAAAUAUAUUAUAAACUGAUAGAUUAUAUGCACAUAUUAAGCAUUAUACACAUAAACAAAAAGAUGAGAUAUGAAUUUGGUUUACACCUUAUUUCCAUUGAAAAUUUUCAAAUUCCAAACUUCAACACAUAGUUAAAGAAAAAAACGUCUACAGCUUUUGUGAAAUACUCUUAGUAAACACAUUUAGAUCUUGUAUACCAAAUUUACAAUGAAGUUCUUUAUUAAUCAUGAUAACAAAAAUAUAGGUAGCCUGGACCUAACAACUUCCCAUUUUGGAAAUUUUCAUGUUAUUGAAAUUACACUCUAAGUUUCUGUUACAACUAAUUUACAAUAAAUAUAAUUGUUUGUUGUUUCAGAUUGAUGAAAUGUUUAAAGGAAAAUCAUCAAUUAUAAAUUACUUAGGUAUCCAAACAUCAUUAGAGUCGAGGAGGCAACAGACUUCUUUUAUGAUACAGCAACCAUCAGAGUAAGAAGCUUGCAAGGAAAUGAUUUGAAGACUAACAUGAUUAUAUCACAUAUCCAACCUUUUUGAGAUGGGAAUGUUGUAAAGCACAAAACUAGAACUUAUCAUUGGUAAAACGUUGUGUGAAUGUAAAAAAGAAUUGUCCUUACAUUUUUCAUUGCAGCUCUUAAUGACCUACUUACAUGCAACACGAAAGAAGGAUAAAAACCGAGAAACUUCACUCAAAUUGAACACAAGUUAAAAAAACUUAGAGAAGAAGAUUGUGAAUUUAUCCCAACACAACAUCUAUAAUGUUGUUCCCGCUCCUUAUUUUCUUAAUACCAUCCAUAAAGUAAUAAAGUGGCGGGGCGGGGUUUAUCAGGAUCAAAAGCCUUUGCAAAACAAAAUUUAGAAUUAAAGUGAAUGAAUUGAGGCACAUAAGGGAGAUGGUUUUCUCUAGUAGAUUAUGGAGUAGAAGAGAAAAGAGGAAAAAUACUCAUGGAAGCUUUUGAAGAGAUUGCGUUCGUGGUCUCGAUAGAGGAAAAGAGGGUCUAAGUUCACCUCCAAACAGGAAAUCGACGAGUAUUCCUUCAGCCGAUUUAGGGCUGGAAACGAUGUCGGAGGUGGGUAGCUAAAGGGGGAGGAGACUGAGUGUGGAUCGACGGUGAUGUGAAGAAAUGGGGAAGUGAGGUGGUUUUAGGGAAUUUUAAUCAGAAGAUAGAAAGAAAAGCGGUGGACAACAAUCCAAUCCCUAUUGGCUUAGAUCAACUCCAACCACAAAACACUAAAAAAUACUAAAAUUGUGACUUUGUAACACUAAAAUGCAGUUUUCACUUCAACCAUACACAAAAAUUUUACAUUAAAAGUAAUAUAUAAAAUAAAAUAAUAAUUAUAAUGGUGUUAAAAAUAGUAAAUAUAAUAAAAUAAUGGAGUUAUAUUGAAAAAGUACAUUUGGUGUUGGGAGAUAGACACACCAAAUAUGGAGGCCACCAAGAGGUUUCACAAAAAUGGUGAUGAUUUUGAAGGUCCAUUAGAAUGGUUUUUAAAAGAUUUGCACCAUUUUAGUGGUCCAUUGGAGUUGCUCUUAGACAGUAGGUUAUGGGGACAUCGGCAACCAUUAAGUGCCAUUGGUAGCUGGAGUCAAUAGAAAUGAGGUUUGCCUCAUAGUUUUUAAAAAGGAAUAAAAAAUAGACCAAUGAACAACAAGAAAGAGGUGUGUAUGAGGCGGUUAGGUUCGGUUAUUGGUCAAAACCGAACCAUAACCAUUACAAUUGGUUAGUGUAUUUUGGUAACCAUUAGGUAGCGGUUAAUAUUGGUUUUGGUUAACGGUUUUAAUCGGUUGAUGGUUAAUAUCGAUUAACCAAAAUGGUCAAUGAUGACAUAAAAAUAAAAAUAAUUUUCUAUUAAAAUUAAAAAACAUAAAGUUCUAUCAUUAUAAAAAAUAAAUGAUUGUGUAUAUAUAAUUGUAUUGAUAUCUAACUCAACUAAUUACCCUUUAAAAUUUCAAGUCCUAAUAUAAUUACAUACCAUAUAUUUAAUAUUAUAUUAUAUUAAAAAUAUUUAUUAAUAUUAUUGGUUCGGUUCGGUUUAUAAUGGUUCAGUUUUAAAUAAAAACCAUAAUUGAACCAUAUGUAUUAAGUUAAUCAAAAUUGGAAACCGAACCAUAUCUUUUAGUAAUGGUUUAGUUAAAAUGGUUCGGUUAUAUGAAUUAAUUUGGUUAUAAUUCAGUUUUUCGGUUAAUAUGUUCACCCCUAGCAAGAAGUUUUCAUAAGAUAACACACAAUUUGUAUAUAUAAAGAACUAGUUUAUAACCCGUGGGAACCACGGUUACAAAAUUAAUUUAACUUUUAUAGUAAAAGUUCAAAGUUAUUAAUCAAUUAUUUUAAAUAAAUUAUUAAUUAUGUGAAAUUAUAAAAUUAUAAUAAUUGAUUUAAAUAAAUAUGUGAAAUUAUAUCACUUUAUAGUUUGUAUUAAUUUUAUUUUAAUUUUUAUUUUAAUUCUAUUAAUUUAAUGUAGAUAGAAUGGAAAAUUUAAAAUUUGAAAUUUAAAAUGAAUAAUCAAUAGGUUGACAAGUGACAAAUAUUAAUUAUGAGACAUAAUAUAGUGACACAUGACAAAAGAAGAAUAAAAUAUGCAUUAAUUAAGAGUUCUAGUAAAAUGACACAUAUCAAAAGGAGAAUAAAACUAUUCUUUUAUUACAAUAGGAAGAUUUUAGAAUUGUAAAAUUUAUAAUGAAUUAAUUUUUAAAUUUUAGUAACCGUAUAUAUUAAUUUUAAAACUAUUAUAACAGUAAAGAUUAUAAUAUUGAUAAAUAUAUAGUAUAUAAAUAAAUAUUAAAUGUUCACAAAAUUUAUUUUUCUUUCUUUAAAAAAUGGCGAUAAACUCCCCAGACAGUUAAAUUUUGGUGUUUCCCAAUUCCCACUUUUCCUCCACCCCCAAGUUGACUCCGCAAAAUCCCUAGGUCUCCGUUUCCAAAAUCCACAGAUCAUGCACAAUCGAAGUCGAAUGUGGACCAUCAUCCCGCCCCUUUGGCCUCCGUUUCUCUUACUAGGCCCGCCGUCGAGCUUGUAGUCCAUAAUCAUUGUCUCUCUACUCAGUCUCAGUCAAGCUUCUAGUUCAUCCCCUUUUUCCUCCGUUUAUCUGCUUUCUGUGACUCUCUCUCAGCCUUCUCUUUUCUACUCCACUCCGGCGGCGAACUACUGGUAACCCACUACGAUUCAGACACCCUUCUUCGUAUUUUCUAUCCAGAGGUAAAUGGCUCGAAACAAGGUAAAGUUCAUCUGAUUUUCUGUUUCUAAAGUAUUUACACUCGCCAAUAUAUCACUUCAGUUCGUAUAACUCUUUGUUGCUAAGCUUUUUAACAUAAAUGUUUGAUGAUGUUAAUUGCAUAUAUGUCUAAUCUCCACUUAAUAUAGUUCAUCUUUUUUUUUUCAAUGGAGUUACUGUUGCUGGUUUGUUAGGGUAAGAAAUAUGAGGAUUAGUUUGUGGAUUUUGUUUACUGAUUUGUAUUUGUUAGCUUAUCGAUGUUCCUUAGAUGAAUGCUAACACCUAUUGUGGUUUAUAUUUAUAUGUGAAACUGAUGUUUAUUGUUUCUAUAAGUCAAAUUACAGAACUAAUAAUAGUUAUGAUGGUUACUCAAAGGAUUUAUCUUACCAAUUUCAAGAUAACAUGAAAGUAAUCCUUUUAUAUGUAUUUAUCAUUAGUCACAGAGCCUUCUUAUUUAUUUUUUGUUUAUUUUUUUUUUCAUACAUUUGUUAGCGCCAACUUAAUUAAUUUAGUUAUAUAUUAUAUUAAUGACACAUACUAUACAUACUAUCCAUACCGCCUUUACCUUCUAGUAAUACCCCUUCAUUAUAUUAACUUUUUCUUUAACUAUCCAUACCCCCUUUACCUUUAGUAAUACCCCUUAAUCAUUAUAACCUUUAGUAAUACCCUUAAUCAUUAUAUUAACUUUUUCUUUAAAUGAUUAAAAUGAUUAAGUAAUAAUUUAAUUCUUUUUGACUAUAAUCAAGUAAUUAUUUGAUAUGCAAAUAAUUGAUUAUCUAUUUAAUCCAUUUAAUAUAUUUUAAAUUUAUAAAAUGUAUUACAUAUAUUAUUUGUAUGUAAACUAUUCAAUCUAUUUAAUAAAACAUUUUUAUAUUUUAAAUUUAUAAAACAAAAAACGUUUGUUAUAUAUUAUUUAUACGCAACUAAUAAAAUUAUUUUAUAUAAAAGAAUUAUAUUUAACACAUUACAAUAAUAAAAUAAUAUUUCAACGCAACGGAUUAUAAAAAAGUUAAAAUAUAUUUGUACUUAAUCAAUAUGUAUCCAAGGUGCUACAGAACUACGAGGCCUAAGUUGAUUGUAUAAUUCAAAACGAGACCAAUACAUAGUUUCCCAUGUAGAUGCCGACAUGCUUCUAUGGGCAUUCUAAUACAUUGUGGUAGGAGGCAUUGGUAAUUUCCUUUCGAAAACCCAACAUAUAAUUGUUGCCAUUUACAUAUGCCAAUGUAAUGGCUUUGUGGGGUUGAAACUUCUCGGGACCUCUCCAAAGAGGGAAACAUGUCGUAGAAUGUUUGUGGCUUAAAUAGUGAACGAUCACACGAAACAUGUUGGAAAUCAGGUAACCAUUAAAAGGCAUAUGCAACCAAUAUCAAGAAGGUGCAGGUGUUUUAAACCAACACAAUGAAUCAUAUACCUUGUUGAACCCGUCAGUAAAAACUAUAUGGUAUGUAUAAUAUUGACUCUCUAACUCUUCAAGCAAUUGUUUUCGAUUAUAAAGCCACUGGUCUUCAUUGUACCCCAGACAAACGGCUACCACUUGAAACCCACAAUUUCCAUCACCUUCUACAUCAUGUAUGUCGUCAAUGUAAUCAUUAAAUAUAUCUGGAAUAUUUCUCAGUUGGAAUGGAUCAUGGCUCGGUGGUUUAUCAGUUAAGUCAGGUUCUUUAUUUAAAUCAAACCCAACAAACUCUGAUGUGGUUGAGAAGUUGUAUUUACUAGGAGGUUGAUUUUGAGGAUUAACUUUAUUUUUUUGAUGUUUCUUCACACUUGGUCGUCCACGAGUGUUUUUUUGAAUUGUAGGUUCUUCGAUGUUAGUUUUUUUGAAUUGUAGGUUCUUGAAGCUUUCUUUAAAAUUUUCAACUAUAUCAUCACACAAAAUAUUGUCGUCUACUACAAAUGUUGUAUCUGAAAUAUCAAGCUUCCCUCAAAAGAUAUCUAUUGAAUCCAAUGGUAUAUCUUCACCUGCAUUGAAAUAUAAAAUAAUUAUUUAUAUAACAUUUUAAAAACUAUCUGUAUGUGGUAGUCGAACGUACGAACCUGAAUUCAAGUAGACAAAAAGUAUGCAAACACGUGGUAACCCACAAUUGUUACGAAGUUUGCAACCACAAUUUGACGAGUCUAAAUUUAGAUCAUUCAACAUUUGAAGCUCUUUUAAUAUUAUAUCUAUAGCUUUGUUCGAAACAAAACCAAGCAGUAACCGGAAGCACUUCAAAUUGUGGUGAUUGUAGCGAUAACAUAUGCUGUUUUCAAAACUUUCGUUGAUCGAAGUUACCUGUGACUGCACAAUUUAAGUAAUCUGUUGCACAAAUAUAUCUAGAUUACAAUUUGAGAAGUCCAAAAUUUUCUUUAACUUGGAAUGGGAGCUCUCAACUCUAUUGGGUGUGCGGUUUCCAAAAUUUAAAUGUUGAUCAACCAAACGUACACAAACAUUCCUUUGUACUUAUUUAACCAUGUAUUCUCUAAGUAUCUCAAAACACUUACGAAGUAAAAUAAAUUAACAAAUAAGUACGUAAAUAGUAAUAUGAAGGUUUUGAUUUAAAACAUAGUCAAUAAACAAAGCUUACGUGGAUAAUCUGAGAACAUUGAUUGAAGUCGCUCAUAGUUUUCCAUGUAUGCCAUCCAUGUUGGAGACCCAACUAGUAUGGCGUGGCACUACAUGUUUUCCUGUUAAAUUUGCCACCAAACGAUUCUAAUCAACAAAUAACCGUCGUACAAAAAGAUGACCCUCCAUAUGCCGUGUAGGUGUAUGAUUAUGUUCAUCACAUUUUACCCUUAGCAUCCAUCAAUCAAAUAUUUUUGAAUACUUUCCUUGCAAUUCAAAUUUACAAUUAGUCUUUCUGCUUCCAGAUGUUCUAAUUGUGUUAAUAGCUUUAUACUCUCCACUAGGAUCACAUGCAAGUAUGACUUUAUACAUGAAUCCGUUCACAUAUGUUUUUGAUAAUUUCGUGAUGAUGACAUAUCAUAGAGAUCGUGUUGUGUUUUGUGUCAAUUCAAACAAUUCCUCACGAGACCUGAACAUCUGAAAUUGAAUUUGAUGUGUUUUAGAAUAUAUUUUUUAUUUCAAAACAUCAUAAUCUAGUAUAAUUAUAUAACCUGAUCGCAAGGAGGCAAAGUUGAUUCCAAACAACUUAAACAUAUCUAUAUACAAAAAUCACGAUAGAUAUGUUGAUAUGAUGUUUCACAAAUACAAAAAACAUAAGAUUUCAUAAAAAAUAACUCAGUAUUUUUUAAAUCAAAAAAAUAAUGUAUUAACAUAAAAAGAUAUUUGCAAUUAUUUAAAUAAAAAAAUGCAGCUCUAAUUAGAAAAUAUGUUCGAUUAUACUUUGUCAAUUGAAGCUUUCACAUGAAGCAAUUAUUUAAACUUCGAACAAAAUAUGUGCACUUAUUUAAACUUCGAACUAAUGGUUAAAAUGAAAUAUUUUUAAACUGAUGGGCUAUAAAUAUAAAAUUCUAAGAUAUAAAAAUCUUACUUUCUCAAAAUCCUAACAACAUAAAUCGGCCGCCAAGAAGAGAGUGACAUACCAGAUGCAAUUUCCGGCGGCAAGAGUCGAAUUCCGACGACUUCUCCGAUUAAAUGGUAGGCUGUUUCAGGCGGCUUCUAGUACUUUUUCAAGUCACUUGAUGAUGUUCAUAGCCACUGGUCCAGCACUUCAUCGGCGGUCUUUCUCGGGGUGUUCCAGUCGUGUUUCUCACGAUCUCUCUCUCUCUCUCUCUCUCUCUCUCUCUCUCUCUCUUUCUUUCUCGUUCUGUCUUUCCGGGGAUCUCUCGUUCAAUACAAUAAUGAAUCAUAAUCAUCAAAAAAAUUGUUCACCACAGGAACCAACGUCAAUCAACAAACUGUCGUCGGCAACAACUAACCGACGGUAACCAAACCACACCGGAGAUAGAAAGGGAGAAAGAGAAAUUGUAAGAAAGACCACUGGAACCACCAUUUACCAUCGUUAAACACCUUUUUACCAUUGUCAACCAUUGUUAACCACCAUUUAACACCCUAUGAAUACCUUAAACCAUCGUGACCAGAUUGAGAAAAGCGAGCUAUUCAUCAUUUACGUCGGAGACAUAACGAUAGAUUGUCGAAAAGACAGAACGAGAAAAAGAGAGAUCGUGAGAAACAUGACUGGAACACCGUGAGAAAGACCGUCGACGAAGCGACAGACCAGUGGACGUUCACGAAGUGUUGGACCAAUGGCUAUGAACGUCAUCAAGUGACGUAAAAAAGUAGGAGAAACUGCCUGAAACAGCCUACCAUUUAAUCGGAGAAGCCGUCAGAAUUCGACUCUUGUUGCCGGAAAUUGCAUAUGGUAUGUUACUCUCUUCUUGACGGUUGAUUUAUGUUGUUAGGGUUUUGAGAAAGUAAGAUUUUUAUAUCUUAGAAUUUUAUAUUUAUAGCCCAUCAAUUAAAAAUAUUUCAUUUUAACCCUUAGUUCGAAGUUUAAAUAAAUGCACAUAUUUUGUUCGAACAUGUUAUCUAAUUAGAGUUGCACUUUUUUAUUUUUUAUUUAAAUAAUUGCAAAUAUUUUUUUUAUGUUAAUACAUUGUAUUUUCAAUUUAAAAAAUAUUGAAUUAUUUUUUAUGAAAGCUUAUGGUUUUUGUAUUUGUGCAACAUUAUAUUAAUAUAUCUAUCGUGAUUUUUGUAUAUAGAUAUGUUAAAGUCGUUUGAAAUCAACUUGUCUGCUUGCGAUCACGUUAUGUAAUUAUAUUCGAUUGUGAUGUUUUGAAAUAAAAAAUAUAUUCUAAAACACAUAAAAUUCAAUUUCAUAUGUUCACGUCUUGGAAUGAAUUGUUUGAAUGGACACAAAACACAACACGAUCUCUAGGAUAUGUCAUUAUCACAAAAAGAUCAAAAGCAUAUGUGAAAGGAUUUGUGUAUAAAGUCAUACUUGCAUGUGAUCGUAGUGGAGAGUAUAAAGCUAUUAACACAAUUAGAGCAUCUGGAAGCAUAAAGAUUAAUUGUAAAUUUGAAUUGCAAUGAAAGUAUUUAAAAGUAUUUGAUCGAUGGAUGCUAAGGGUAAAAUGUGAUGAACAUAAUCAUGCACCUGCACAACAUAUGGAGGGCCAUCUGUUUGUACGACGGUUAUCUGUUGAUGAGAAUCGUUUGGUGGCAAAUUAAACACGAAAGCAUGUAGCGCCACUCCAUACUAGUUGAGUCUCUAACAUGAAUGACAUACACGAAAAACUAUGAACGACUUCAAUCAAUGUUCAUAGAUUAUCCACGUAAGCUUGUUUAUUGACUAUGUUUUAAAUCAAAACCUUCAUAUUACUAUAUAUGUACUUAUUUGUUAAUUUAUUUUACUUAGCAAGUGUUUUGAGAUACGUAGAGGAUAUAUGGUUAAAUAAGUACAAAGAAAUGUUUGUGUCGGUUUGGGUUGAUCAACAUCUAAAUUUUUGAAACCACACAUCUAAUAGAGUUGAGGGUGCACAUUCCAAGUUAAAGAAAUUUUUGGACUUCCCAAAUUGUAAUCUAGAUAUAUUUGUGCAACAGAUUACUUAAAUUGUGCAGUUACAUACAACUUUGAUCAACGAAAGUCUUGAAAACAACAUAUAUUAUCGCUACAAUCACCACAAUUUGAAGUGCUUUCGGUUACUGCGUUGUUUUGUUUCGAACAAAGCUUUAGAUAUAAUAUUAGGAGAGCUUCAAAGGUUGAAUGAUAUAAAUUCAGACUCCUCAGAUUGUGGUUGAAAACUUCGUAAUUGUUGUGGGUUACCAUGUGCUUGCAUACUUUUUGUCUACUCCAAUCCAGGUUCGUACGUUCAACUACCACAUACAGAUAGUUUUUAAAAUGUUAUAUAAAUAAUUAUUUUAUAUUUUAAUGCAGGUGAAGAUAUACCUUUGGAUUCAAUAGAUAUCUUUUGGAGGAAACUUGAUAUUUCAGAUACGACACCUGUAGUAGACGAUAAUAUUUUGUGUGAUGAUAUAGUUGAAAAAAUUAAAGAAAGCUUCAUGAAGCAAUCAAAAGCCGAGAAAAACAACCUUAUAUGAGAAAGCUACAAGAGAUAUAUGAUCCACAAAAAACUAACAUUGGAGAACUUACAUUUCAAAAAAAAAAAAAAAAAAACACUCGUGGACGACGAAAAAAAGAAAGCCAAUCCUCCAAAUCAAGCUCCUAGUAGAUACAAGUUCUCAACCACAUUAAAGUUUGUUGGGUUUGAUUUAAAUAAAGAACCUGACUUAACUGAUGAACCACCGAGCCAUGAUCCAUUCCAAUUGAGAAAUAUUCCAGAUAUAUUUCAUGAUUACAUUGACGAUAUGAUGUAGAAGGUGAUGGAAAUUGUAGGUUUCGAGCGGUAGCCGUUUGUCUGGGUUACAAUGAAGACCAGUGGCUUUAUAAUCGAGGGAUUGGAAAUCCUUGGAGGGUUAGAGGGAUUGGAAAUCCUUCUAAUCUUUGGUGCUGUAAGAGCUUUGUCGAAACAAAGUAGGGGAGAAUCAUUCGGGGAUCUAGAAUUAGAAGUAGUUGUGAAACUAGGAGGAGUUUCGCAUUCCCAUCGGGGAGGAUGGUAGCCCAAGUGAUUGUUUGAAUUAAGGAUUGUGUGGAUGGGAGUUUGGAAAACUUCCCAAUUUUUGGGUUCAUGCCUUCUUGGUGUCGGGUAGCAAGCUUUGGGGAUCCAGUUAUGACUCUAGUUCAGCUUGGGUGUUAGGUCGAGUGUGUGCUUAACUUUGGAUGUCUUCGAAUUGAUAGAUUAGCGGUAAGGCUUUGGGCGACAGUUUGUAAGACUGUGGGGGGCCGUAGCAUUCACUAGUUCGUAGAAAAUGUAGGAGUGUUAUAAGACUGCAUGGUGGCCCAUAGCAUUCACUAGUCCGCAGAUAAUGUAGGCGUGUCAUAAGACUGCGGGGUGGCGCAUAGCAUUCACUAGGGGUUGGUUGUAAGACUGUGGGGUGGCUUGUAGCAUUCACCGGUCCUGUGCAGCGAGAGAGUGUGGCAAAUUUAUGAUUUGCUCACGGUUCUUCGGAUGGUUUGGGCCAGGGUGGGCCAGUUCGUAAGGCCGUGGGUGAGCCACAGUGUAUCCAUAAUCAGGAAAUGGAAGGUCACGGGAGACCAAGUAAGAUGUAAGACUACAGUUGGUCUUGUAGCGUUCAGUUUAGCAUUAGAUUUGGUGACUAGAUGGUUUAGGUAGUUGUUGUCAGCCGGGGUUUUCUUUAGGAAGUCACGUGUGGCGACUGUGGGAGUGUCUUUUGGCUCAACAUUCGGGCGGGAAUUCAGUAUUUUAGAUAGUUGGAAGACAAGUUGGGACCAGGGCGGUCUCGGCUGCUUGUGGGAAGCAACAAGGAGGCAGCGUGGUACUUCGGGCAAUAGUUGUGAUUUGAGGUUUCGUGUGGGAGUAGGGUGACUGGUUGAUUGGGAAAUGCUAAGCCACUCGCAGUGGGAUUAAAUAAUCUCAGAGUAAUUGAAUUGACCUUGUUGCGCAACUCUCGUAUGAGUCUAACCGUUGCAUGGAUGAAUCUUCUACUCGAAGGAUUAUUUGACCCUUCUAUCGAGUAUACGUGUUCUAUAGUUGUAUAAGGUCAGUGACUUUGUUCCUUUUGAAGCAGCAAUGUGAUCGGGGGUUGGAAGAAUUUUGUUUGGUACAAAACUCUAUGAGGUUGGCAUGGUGGCGGUUCGGUGUGGGAGGUCUGACAGGGAGUUAGACCAUUGAGACUUUAGGUUUCAAAUUUUAGGUGAGGUAAGAUUGGUUUUUAUUCAAGAAAUUGAGGAUUCAUUCUCUAUCGGGCUUGAAGAACUAUUCUACGGAUGGUUUUAGUAGAUCUGGAUAGGCCGUUGUAUGAUCAGGGUUGGAAGUGUUAUGUUGGUUUGUUAUUCGUUGAGAGUUUGGCAUGGAGUUGUUUCAGCAUGGGCGGUCUGUCGGGGAGUCAGACCAUUAUAGAUUUCGGGUAAUCAGAAAAGUAGAAGUGGUUCGGUUGUAGGGGAUGAAGGUUUGAUUGCUGUCUUCGGGAUGGAAGUUUUGGUUUAGGUUUCGGUUGUCUUGGGAAGAUAUUCUUAUGCGCAGAAUUUUCGAUAGUGUUCCUCAGGUUUUUUGUUUUGAUAUGAGUGUUAGUAAGGAGCAAUUUCGAGGACGAAAUCUAAUUUAAAUGUACAGAGAGUUGUAACACCCGAAAUAUAAAAGAUUAAUUGUGGAAGAAAAUCCCCUUUCCUAGGGACCAACACGGCGAGUUGAUGGUGGGAAACUCGACGUGUUGGAAGCUUUUGGGAUGCACAUUUUUAUGGACCAACUCGACGAGUUGGUGAAGGGAACUCGGCGAGUUGGACGCUGAUUGAGAAACCCUAAUUUUUAGUGUGCUGCACCCUAUUUAAAGGCCUUAAGUUAUUUGGUUGGCCUCCUUACCAGCCUCCUUUGUCCAGAAACCCUAAAAUCAAGCUUUACCUUUCAUUGUUGAGUGUGAGAGCUUGGGGAGACCCUUGGGUGUUCAUUUUUGGUGCAUGUUGAAGGAGCUAAGGAAUUAGGAGUUGCUUGGCCUGAAUAAGAAGUCUUGGAUCCAGAAUCUCUGUCUCAUUUGCUAAGUUUUUGAGGUAUCAAGUUCUCACAUUGCUUAUUAGUUGCUUAGAUAUCUUCUUGGGUUAGAUUUUAUGCUUUUUAGCCAUAGUUGGGUGGAUGUUGGGGAUUAGGGUGUCCCAAAUGAUUAUUCUUUCAGAUCUAAGGUCUACAUGAGCUCUUUUGGCAUAAAUGUGCCAACUUUAUGGAUUUAAGGACUUCAUGCAUUCAUUAAGUCCCUUAUUAAGCCCUUUUUGAGCUUUUGAGCUCCUCAUAGUCAUGCUUAAGCGUAAAGUUGGAAACUUUACGUGACCAUCUAGCCUUAUGGGGUCAGAUCUGCAUUUUAGGGUUUUGUCUUUGAUGAUUAAGUGUUUAAUGGUUAACCCCUCACUCUUUUAAGUCUAGGGUUUGGACCCAUUUAGGUGGUUCCUAGGGGUAAAGUUUCCAACUUUACCCUUCUUGAUCUCAUUUUGGUCGAGAUCUGAGCUUUGGAGCUCUUGGAUUCGAUGAAGGCAUCUUAAUGCAUUAAAUUGUUGGGUCUUGGGCGAACUCGGCGAGUUUGUUGGUCAACUCGGCGAGCUGACUUGGUUUUCCCCAUUUUAAGUUGAUAGAGAAACUCGGCGAGUUGUUGGUCAACUCAGUGAGUUGGGUCAACAUGGAUUGUUGAUCUUAAUUUUUUUGACUUUUUAUCUUUGAACAAGUUUGUCCCAAGGGGUACUUGAGGUAAUCUGAAUUGUAAGUAAAUGAAUUAUGGGCUUAAGAUAAGGCCCAUAUGGGGAUUGGGCCAAAUUUGGAAAAUUGGGCCAUUUGUGGACUUUUAUGGAUCGAGUAGUUUCUGGCAUUUUGGGCUUGAGUUAUUAAUGGUUCAUCGGGAUACAAAGUGUUUGGACUAGAAAGAUGGUUGGGCCUUAAGGCAAGGCCAUGUAUGGGGUUUGUGCCCAAAUUUGAAAAAUUUGGCCAUUGGUUGAUUAGUGGGCCUUUUAGAUUAUAGUUUGGGUCAUAUAUUUGGACAAGGAUAGGUUAGGGGUAAAAUGGUCUUUUUACCCUAGGUAUGAAGUUGUGGAUAUGGAUUGGAACCUAAUUGUUAAUUGGGUGUUGUUUUGGUCUAUCAGUUUGGAAGUGUCGUCAGGGCAGCAGCUAGGGAUUUCUUUCAGUGUGCUUCAACAUUCGAGGUGAGUCUCCUCACUGCUUUAGUGGUUCAAAGGCACCAAUCCCGGCCCAAGUUUAUAUUAAGUUGUUAGUAUGCUAGGUGUCUUUAUGACUCUUACAUGUGCCUGUGUUUAUAUGUUUUCCGAGCUAAGGCCCGAUGUCGAGUAGGGACUGAUGAAUAUUUGUAUGCUAUGUAUCUAUGUGAUUAUUUCAUGUGUGUGUUAUUUGAUAUAUGUUAUUGCACGUUGGGCGGGCCCGUUUUAUCGAGCUUAACUCGAUGCCGAGCGGGGCCUGAUGCCGGACGGGGUCCAAUGCCGGGCGGGGCCCACUAUAUGUUUAUUGUAUGUUUCUUGUAUGGUAUGUGGUAUUGGGGGAAUUCAUUAAGCUUUGUGCUUAUGGUUUUCAAUUUAUGUUUCAGGUACUUCAGUUUUCAAAUGAAAGAGCUCGGGACGAUCGCAACGCGUGCACCCGUGUUUUCUGCAAUAUGUGAUUUUUGGGAAUGAACUCUGAUAAUUGUUUUAUUUGAAAUGCUUUUCAAUGUUUGGACAAAUAUAAAAUAGAGUUUUGAUUAUAAUAAAAAUGAACUUUUUAUCCUUGAUUUUUGGGAUGUUUCAUACACCUUGCAUAUCAACCCAAACCGCAAAUAAUCUAUAUGUUUGAAAUGUUCUUUUGUAUUUAUAAUUUAUGGUUAUCAUCAUCACAAAGACAACUAGAAACUGUAAGUAAUAUAGUGUAUUUGGGAUGAGAAGGUUUUAUCCUUCAAACAACCAAAACGUAAGAGAACAACCCAGAUCUGAUACUCUUCUUCAAGAAAAAAAAAUGAAACCGUGAAGGAAAAACUAAACUCUCCUGAGAGACGUAAUAAC